rnacentral:rRNA from 1 species
UACAGAGGUCUCAAGCGUUGUUCGGAUUCAUUGGGCGUAAAGGGUGCGUAGGUGGUGACGCAAGUCUGGUGUGAAAUCUCGGAGCUCAACUCCGAAAUUGCACCGGAUACUGCGUGACUCGAGGACUGUAGAGGAGAUCGGAAUUCACGGUGUAGCAGUGAAAUGCGUAGAUAUCGUGAGGAAGACCAGUGGCGAAGGCGGAUCUCUGGAGAGUUCCUGACGCUGAGGCACGAAGGCCAGGGGAGCAAACGGG